rnacentral:rRNA from 1 species
GUGAGUAAUGUCUGGGAAACUGCCUGAUGGAGGGGGAUAACUACUGGAAACGGUGGCUAAUACCGCAUAACGUCGCAAGACCAAAGAGGGGGACCUUCGGGCCUCUUGCCAUCAGAUGUGCCCAGAUGGGAUUAGCUUGUUGGUGAGGUAACGGCUCACCAAGGCGACGAUCCCUAGCUGGUCUGAGAGGAUGACCAGCCACACUGGAACUGAGACACGGCCCAGACUCCUACGGGAGGCAGCAGUGGGGAAUAUUGCACAAUGGGCGCAAGCCUGAUGCAGCCAUGCCGCGUGUAUGAAGAAGGCCUUCGGGUUGUAAAGUACUUUCAGCGGGGAGGAAGGUGUUGUGGUUAAUAACCGCAGCAAUUGACGUUACCCGCAGAAGAAGCACCGGCUAACUCCGUGCCAGCAGCCGCGGUAAUACGGAGGGUGCAAGCGUUA